rnacentral:rRNA from 1 species
UACGUAGGGUGCAAGCGUUAAUCGGAAUUACUGGGCGUAAAGCGUGCGCAGGCGGUUUUGUAAGUUUGUCGUGAAAGCCCCGGGCUCAACCUGGGAAUUGCGAUGAAGACUGCAAGGCUUGAAUCUGGCAGAGGGGGGUAGAAUUCCACGUGUAGCAGUGAAAUGCGUAGAGAUGUGGAGGAACACCGAUGGCGAAGGCAGCCCCCUGGGUCAAGAUUGACGCUCAUGCACGAAAGCGUGGGGAGCGAACAGG